AGCAAGUCGAACGGUAACAGGAAUAGCUUGCUAUUUGCUGACGAGUGGCGGACGGNUGAGUAAUGUAUAGGAACUUGCCUAGUAGUGGGGGACAACUUAUGGAAACGUAAGCUAAUACCGCAUAAUCUCUACGGAGGAAAGUGGGGGACCUUUCGGGGCCUCACGCUAUUAGAUAGGCCUAUAUCAGAUUAGCUAGUUGGUGAGGUAAUGGCUCACCAAGGCGACGAUCUGUAGCUGGUUUGAGAGAAUGAUCAGCCACACUGGGACUGAGACACGGCCCAGACUCCUACGGGAGGCAGCAGUGGGGAAUAUUGCACAAUGGAGGAAACUCUGAUGCAGCAAUGCCGCGUGUGUGAAGAAGGCCUUAGGGUUGUAAAGCACUUUCAAUAGGGAGGAAAAGUUAGUAGUUAAUAACUGCUAGCCGUGACGUUACCUAUAGAAGAAGGACCGGCUAACUCCGUGCCAGCAGCCGCGGUAAUACGGAGGGUCCGAGCGUUAAUCGGAAUUACUGGGCGUAAAGCGCGCGUAGGCGGUUUACUCAGUCAGAUGUGAAAGCCCCGGGCUCAACCUGGGAACUGCAUUUGAUACUGGUAGGCUAGAGUAUGGUAGAGGUGAGUGGAAUUUCAGGUGUAGCGGUGAAAUGCGUAGAGAUCUGAAGGAACAUCAGUGGCGAAGGCGACUCACUGGGCCAUUACUGACGCUGAGGUGCGAAAGCGUGGGUAGCAAACAGGAUUAGAUACCCUGGUAGUCCACGCCCUAAACGAUGUCAACUAGGUGUGUGAGAGUUUAUCUCUUGCGUAUCGAAGCUAACGCGAUAAGUUGACCGCCUGGGGAGUACGGCCGCAAGGCUAAAACUCAAAUGAAUUGACGGGGGCCCGCACAAGC
rnacentral:rRNA from 1 species